UUGUUCCUGUAUUAAUUUCAACGUGUCU
rnacentral:sRNA from 1 species